AGACAACCACCUAGAAAAAGGCUUUGAAAUGAAAUCUGUAAGCAGAACGUCUUGUCAAUGUCUUUGUCCUCUAUCAGAUGGUAAUUCUGAAGAUCAAAUAGAUAUCAAGAGAUGCCCGUGAAGCAAUGUACGGUCUAACCUUGCAAUCUGCAGGAGUCGGGGAAGAGCGAGACGGGGGGCCGGGGGGGGGGGGGGGGGGUGCGGAGGCGGGAAUGGCGGCCCGAGGUUUGGUCGCGUUGGUGGCGGUGGGGAGGAGGUGGAAGUCGGCGAAGAGGUGGCCGUCGACCCACCGGUUCGCGUCGCGGCUGCCUGCGGUGCGAGCGCGGGAGGGAGAAGGCGAGCGGCGGCACGGUGUUCGGUAGGUCGAGGAGGCUAUUGAAGCCUCUAUUUCUGUCGGCGGCGGCGGACCAAGAGGGGGAGGAGGCAAGGCGCAUCCCUCGCCGGCGGCUCCCUGGCUCUGACCUCAACUCCACAGGGUGCAUGACGCGAUUGGAUCGGGAGCAAGGGAAGGAGUGACCGUGCGAGAUGGGUACGGGCGAUUACGGGCGGCGGGGCGGGAGGAGGCGGCCGGACCGCGGGGCAGGUGCAGCAUGCAGCGCCAGGAGGCACUUCGGGCGAGAGGAGCCGGGGCGGGCUUUUGAAUUACUGAGUACUCCGUAUUAAAGGUGUGUUUGUUUGGGCUUGUAGGAGCUGCUUCAACAGCUUCUGAGCUGUGGAAGCCGGAGCCCAAACAAACACCACUUUUUAGACCAGCUCCAAGCAGCGGAUUCGAAGGAGCGCUCCCGAUACACACACAGCCCACGAGAAUCCACAAAAUCGAUGCUUCUUUCGGCAGCUGUACCUCCAAAACUUCAUUUUUACCGAAUUACCCAAGCACCAAACUACAUGCAACACCAAAAAUGCCCCGUACCGGUUCGUUCUUUUCGCCCGCGCCCACGCCCGACCGAACGGGAACACCUCACCGCCGCCACCUCUCUCCGGCCACCGGCGCCGCCGCCACCUACCUCUCCGGACACCGGUGCAUCCGAGCCCAUCUCUCCCCUGGACGUCGGCUCCUUCUCUCUUUUCUUUCUCCCCUGCUGCAGCCACCUAUCUUCCCUGGACGGAUGGACGCCACCGCCCGAUCUGGGCUCCCGGCGCCGCUGCCUUCCUCCGGCUGGUGGGAUGGAGCCUCCCGAGUUCCAGGGGUCCGUCCGCCCCUGCUCCCCGACCACCUUCUCCCGCCACCCCCGGAAACCGACGGGAGGCCGAGGUCCAGCCGCUUCUUGCGCCCUCUGCUCCCUGCUGCCCUGAGGUCCGGCCGUCCAUUCUGGCUCCGGUACGAGGUGCAGCCGCCCCUUUCUUCUCCCUGCUGCCCACGAGCUUGCUCCCCUCAACGUCUAGCAGUGGGAGAGAGCGGCAGGGCAACAGUAGAAAUCUUCAUUUCUUCAUGCAGGCGAGAGCAGCAAUAGAAAUCUUCUCAUGUUCAAGUACCGGGGGAGGUUAUCUACAGCGCUUGGAGAAUUUAUAAAUCGUGCUAUAAAAUCUUGAUGUGUUUUUUAUUGCUAUAAAGUCUUUAUGUUGUACAGGCAACAACAACAAUAUAAAUAGUGCUAUGAAGUCUUUUUCAUUUUCAA